UGGUAGCUAAUACCGGAUAUGACGACUGGCCGCAUGGUCUGGUCGUGGAAAGAAUUUCGGUUGGGGAUGGACUCGCGGCCUAUCAGGUUGUUGGUGAGGUAAUGGCUCACCAAGCCUACGACGGGUAGCCGGCCUGAGAGGGUGACCGGCCACACUGGGACUGAGACACGGCCCAGACUCCUACGGGAGGCAGCAGUGGGGAAUAUUGCACAAUGGGCGAAAGCCUGAUGCAGCAACGCCGCGUGAGGGAUGACGGCCUUCGGGUUGUAAACCUCUUUUAGUAGGGAAGAAGCGAAAGUGACGGUACCUGCAGAAAAAGCACCGGCUAACUACGUGCCAGCAGCCGCGGUAAUACGUAGGGUGCAAGCGUUGUCCGGAAUUAUUGGGCGUAAAGAGCUCGUAGGCGGUUUGUCGCGUCUGCUGUGAAAUCCCGAGGCUCAACCUCGGGUCUGCAGUGGGUACGGGCAGACUAGAGUGCGGUAGGGGAGAUUGGAAUUCCUGGUGUAGCGGUGGAAUGCGCAGAUAUCAGGAGGAACACCGAUGGCGAAGGCAGAUCUCUGGGCCGUAACUGACGCUGAGGAGCGAAAGCAUGGGGAGCGAACAGGAUUAGAUACCCUGGUAGUCCAUGCCGUAAACGUUGGGAACUAGAUGUGGGGACCAUUCCACGGUCUCCGUGUCGCAGCUAACGCAUUAAGUUCCCCGCCUGGGGAGUACGGCCGCAAGGCUAAAACUCAAAGGAAUUGACGGGGGCCCGCACAAGCGGCGGAGCAUGCGGAUUAAUUCGAUGCAACGCGAAGAACCUUACCAAGGCUUGACAUAUACCGGAAACGUGCAGAGAU
rnacentral:rRNA from 1 species